rnacentral:rRNA from 1 species
GAUGAACGCUGGCGGCGUGCCUAACACAUGCAAGUCGAACGGAGUCUUUUUGGCAAUCUCUUCUGACAUGGAAUUCUCAACUUAUUGGCGGCCGGGUGGUUAACGCGUGAGCAAUCUGCCGUUAAGAGGGGGAUAACAGUCGGAAACGGCUGCUAAUACCGCAUCAAACAUUUAAUUCGCAUGUUUUUAAUGCCAAAGAAGCAAUACGCUUUUAGAUGUGCUCGCGUCUGAUUGGCUAGUUGGCGGGGUAACGGCCCAACAAGGCGACGAUCAGUAGCCGGACUGAGAGGUGGAACGGCCACAUUGGGAAUGAGACACGGCCCAGACGACUACGGGAGGCAGCAGUGGGGAAUAUUGCGCAAUGGGGGAAACGCUGACGCAGCAACGCCGCGUGAUUGAAGAAGGCCUUCGGGUUGUAAAGAUCUUUAAUCAGGGACGAAACAAAUGACGGUACCUGAAGAAUAAGCUCCGGCUAACUACGUG